CCUACGGGAGGCAGCAGUGGGGAAUAUUGCGCAAUGGGCGAAAGCCUGACGCAGCGACGCCGCGUGAGGGAUGAAGGUCUUCGGAUCGUAAACCUCUGUUAGCAGGGAAGAACGGUCACUGUGCUAAUCAGCAGUGAAUUGACGGUACCUGCAAAGGAAGCAACGGCUAACUCCGUGCCAGCAGCCGCGGUAAUAAGGAGGGUGCGAGCGUUAAUCGGAAUUUCUGGGCGUAAAGCGCUCGUAGGCGGUAGGUCAAGUCAAGGGUGAAAUCCCCGCGCUAAACGUGGGAACUGCCUUUGAAACUGGCAAACUGGAGUGUGUGAGAGGAUAGUGGAAUUCCAGGUGUAGGGGUGAAAUCCGUAGAUAUCUGGAGGAACAUCAGUGGCGAAGGCGACUAUCUGGCACAUAACUGACGCUGAGGAGCGAAAGCGUGGGUAGCAAACAGGAUUAGAUACCCGAGUAGUC
rnacentral:rRNA from 1 species